rnacentral:rRNA from 1 species
AACGAACGCUGGCGGCGUGCCUAACACAUGCAAGUCGAACGAGAAAGGGGCUUCGGCUCCGAGUAAAGUGGCGCACGGGUGAGUAACACGUGGGUAACCUGCCUCUAAGAUUGGGAUAACUCGUCGAAAGAUGAGCUAAUACCGAAUAAGACCACAGUUCCCGCGGGAACAGGGGUCAAAGGUAGCCUCUGCUUGCAAGCUAUCACUUAGAGAUGGGCCUGCGCACCAUUAGCUAGUUGGUAGGGUAACGGCCUACCAAGGCAAAGAUGGUUAGCUGGUCUGAGAGGAUGAUCAGCCACACUGGAACUGAGACACGGUCCAGACUCCUACGGGAGGCAGCAGUGGGGAAUAUUGCGCAAUGGGCGAAAGCUUGACGCAGCAACGCCGCGUGAGUGAUGAAGGCCUUCGGGUCGUAAAGCUCUGUCGGGAGGAACGAAUGCUCCUGAGGUUAACAGCCUCGGGAGGUGACGGUACCUUCAAAGGAAGCACCGGCUAACUCUAUG